AACUGAACGGUCUUAAUUGCAGAAUCUUGUCUUUUCAUAGCCAUCAGCUGGAGUGCGGUUCCUGAGCAGCCGCUGGAUGUCACUGCCAAUGGCUUUCCACAGGGAACAACACGGAAGGCAAUCAGGUGCCUUCAGGCCAGGGUCCGAGCUGAUGGACAGCUCACAUGGACAGUCUGUGAGGACGGGGAAGGGUAUGGUGUGUAAAGAUGAGACAACACCUUCUUGGCACACACGUCUGCCUCUGCAUCAGCUCGUGAACCACGUAUAGUGAGGAAAGAAGGAGGCACACACGGUCCAGAUCCCGGCAGCCUGGAUGGGCAGAGCCAGGAGAGCCCAGUUGGGCUGGUGAGGAAUCCGCACUCACUUCCUUCACUGUCCCGAGCUGUGGCCUGCACGAAGCUUCGUGUUAGAAGCAAAGGAAGGCCCACAGUGCCCGCAGGGGAGUCUGGAGGCUCUGCCUCCGGUGCUUGUCCGAGUGGACUUUGUAACCGUGGUUCACGUGGGGAGCACCACUCAAGCUUGAAACCCAGCUUCAGUGUCGUGAGCGGUAUCACCCACAGGGCCGGCGCCCUUAGGAAGAAGUAGCCCAGCAUGGCUGGCAGGAGUCCUGGGGGGAAUUUAGUAAUCCCACCUCUGUUGUCACCCCAUUUGAGACUGUCACCUUCAUGAUUUCACGGCUGAUGACAUUUCUUAAGAGGAGAUUCACUUUGUUAACCUCACCCCAAUCAGGUCUACAUUUUCUUCAUGUGAAGAACAGGUGGGGGGGGUGGCGUUCCUGCACGUUCAAAUUUAAGAAAGAUACCAGGGGAAGCCCGGUGUCCCUGACAGGGGCCUGGUGUAUAUCAAACACUCAUUAAAAAUCUUCUUUGUCUUGUCUUUCCAAACAGAUCCCAAAUCAGCAAAGUGGAACUCUUUAGAUCAUUUCAGAAACUGCUAAGCAGUAUUUCAGAGGACAAGUGGCCAGACUCCCUCAGGUGACUCUGUUGACCCAUUUUUUUUUUCAUAUUUAGGACGACUUGUGGUUUAAUUCUGGUUUACAAAUGGCAGGAAGCUUUGGCAGGAGUGGUGGCUCAAUGGGCCAGUG
rnacentral:lncRNA from 1 species